AUACAAUACUGUGGUACCAUUUUCACCACCUAUGUUUUCAUUUUGUGGUUUUUGUUUGGUGAAAUGAAGAGCUUGAUCCAACAAAGUUAUGCUGAAAGAUCUCUUUGAAAUAUGAAGAUUCGAAUUUGAAUACCCAUAGUUUUGAUUGUAACAUCAUUCCCGUGCAGAUCCAAGUUUAAGCUCGACUAAGGUUGUUUCAUAACAGUCAUGGUGGAGACCAUGUUUGAUUUUUUCAGUUAUUGAUUUUAGCCUCUAAGAAGCCUUUUUAUGAGGUUUAAUGUCCAUUAAUUUAUCUGUAAUACUUUGUAAUUUCAGGUUAAAAAUCAUGUGUACAUAUUACUUCAUUUUUUAUUAUAACUCAACUCGAACUUAUGAUUUACUAUCCUGUUUUAAUACACACUAGAUACAGACCCGCGCUUAAGCGCGGAUAUUAUUCCACCAAAUCAUUAUAUUUUAUUAUUUAUAUUUUGUGGUAUAUAAUAUAUGUAUAUAAUAUUUAUAUAUUUGUCGUGAUGUUAAUUUAUAAUGUAAAAUGUUUCAUAUUAUAUGUUGUAAUAUGUGUUGUAUAUGGUGUUAGUUUAUAAUAUAUAAUGAUUCAUAUUAGACAUUGUAAUACAUGUUGUAUAUGGUGUUAGUUUAUAAAGUAUAAAAUUUAAUAGAUUAAAUAAUAAUGUUCGAUAUAAUUGAUAUAUUAUUUCUCUUAAAUUAAUAAAUUUGGUAAUUUUGUUUAAAUUUUAAUGUAUUAUAUUAUAUUUAACACAUGUAAUACUAUUUACUUAUUAGUUUUUUUUUGUCAAAAUGAUUAAAACCUAUUUGCCCCAGAAAAUAUGAAUGUAUAAACUUCUAAGUAAUAUUUAAAGUUUGGGCUAAUAAUUUCGUUUAUGGAUGAGGCCCAACACAUAAUAAUUUAGCAAAGAAACAUCUAAUUUAAUUAAGCCCUAAUGGGUAACUGAUUUUUGCCCGGAAAGGAAAAAAUGAUGUGUAAAGUCAACAACUUUGACUGUCUUUAAUUUUGUUUCUCUCGGUGUAAGAGCACUCCCAUUAGUGAACUUAUGGGAGGUUCACACAGAUUCCAAAAAAAAAAAAUAUUAUAAUAAUGAAUAGUAAUGAACCUGUUUCUCCCAAGCUCUUCCCAGUGAACCUGGUUCAUCACUGUAGCGCAGGCCCCACGACACGUGGCAGCCCGCAAUUGGUCCGAUUAAUUAAUUUUUUUUUUUAAAAAAAAACAAAAAUCAAACAGUAAAAAAAAUAAUAAAAAAAUACUAAGAAAUCAGAUCAAGUUCAUCAUUUCUCUCUCUCUUCUUCGACUGACCGAUACAAUUUUUCUCUUCCCAAACUAUAUACAAAAUUAAUUGAUCUUCUAUAAAUUUUUGGAUUUUCAAGACAUGCAUGAGGUUUCAGGAUUCAAUCGGAGGAAACUAAAGAUAAGACGCUGAUUUGAGAGAACAUUCAGAAUCAGGCUCUUCCAUGGUUUCGAUGGAAAAGAAGUCCGAGAUAUAACAACGAAAUCAGUUAAGUUUGAUUGUCACGGAUGUUUCUCACACAUGAAUGAGCUUUGCUAUAUCGAUCUCUGUAAGGUUCAAGGUAAUAAUAUUCAAACCAGAGUCUUAUUGCUCUUAAACGUUUUCAAAAACCAAAGUAAUAUAUAGGGUUAAUCCCAGUUUUAUAUUGUGUUAAUAAUAGCUAUCUUUCAUUUGUUUGUUGAUCUAUAUGUACAAACCUUGUAGAUCAGACGCUGGAAAAAUCAAGAUCUGAGUCAUAGAAAAUGAAAUCUUCACAGUACCAAAAGCAAAUUCAAUCUCCGACUUUGAAACUAAAGUUAACUUCUUAAGAAAAAGAUAGUUUUCUUAAAUUUUAGACUCAUUAUAUGAAAUAAUAAGAUUUUUUUUAUGUUGCAGUUUAUGAACUGAAGAGAAGCAAAGACGAUCACCUAUGCUACCAUGGUCCUAUUAGAGUUUUUGUAUUGUAAUCCUAGGUUUGAUUAUAGUUAAAUUUCGGAUUAAGAGAUUGGUUUAGGUUUAAUAUAGGAUGUUGGUUUAAUUUAAGUUGUCCGGUUGUAUUUGCUUUGUAGCGUCUAAUAAUAUACAAUCUAUCAACUUGAAAGGGUCCAUCGUAGUUACAAAAUUGAAACAGUCCAAAUUUAAAUGACAACUUCUUAAGUAGAUAAAAUUUAGGA